GGAGAGAAAAAGAACAGAAAGCGUGCCUUCUUGAAUGCAAUCCACAACUUCUGCUGUUGUUACAUUCAAUGCACGUAGGAGAAUUGAAAGGAUUGUACCCAAACAGAGACUCCAUCAUCUCCUCGUUGAAUCUGCCAAUGUUAUAAUGAUUAAACUGACCAUGGAUUGACCAGGAUUGGCAAGAACCUUAUCCCAGAAGAAUGGCUUUAACUUGGUCUUGUGGCUUCCUGGAUCCGAAUUCGUAUUU